rnacentral:misc_RNA from 1 species
UCAGCUAGGAGGCAGGUCCAAACUC